rfam:Felis catus isolate Cinnamon breed Abyssinian chromosome A2, whole genome shotgun sequence.
GUCUGGGUGGCUCAGUUGGUUGAGUAUCUGACUUCAGCUCAGGUCCUGAUCUUGCGGUUCGUGAGUUCGAGCCCCACAUCAGGCU